rnacentral:snRNA from 1 species
GUGCUCACUUUGGCAGCACAUAUACUAAAACUGGAAAAAUGCAGAAAGAUUGUCAUUGCCCCAUGCAAGGAUGACAUGCAAAUUUGUGAAGCAUUCCAUACUUUU